UUGGAUAACUGUGGUAAUUCUAKAGCUAAUACAUGCAAACAGAGCUCCGACCGGAGACGGAAGGAGUGCUUUUAUUAGAUCAAAACCAAUCGGUGGCGGGCUCGCCCGUCAUCGUCCAACUUGGUGACUCUGAAUAACUUUACGCUGAUCGCACGGUCAUCGCACCGGCGACGCAUCUUUCAAAUGUCUGCCUUAUCAACUGUCGAUGGUAGGUUCUGCGCCUACCAUGGUUGUAACGGGUAACGGGGAAUCAGGGUUCGAUUCCGGAGAGGGAGCCUGARAAACGGCUACCACAU
rnacentral:rRNA from 1 species